CUAAAGCGCAGCCAUCGGCUUUAUAUACAGCGCGCCCAUCGCCACAAAAUAUAAAAACAAAACACUGUGCACGAGCUAUGAUUAAUCGCAGGCAACUGCUACUCACGUUGUCGUUGCCACAGAGCAAAGGCAAACACUUGGAGACCGCGCGAUUCUCUUGCGAGUCACGUUCGCAGCGAAUGAAAA